AAUGCAGAGUGCGCCGAUGUGUAUUCACGCACGACCGAUAAUAUCGCGCUCUACGUACACGCAGCCUCUUAAACUUAUUCACCGCCUCUGGCUGUUAAAUAUACAUAACCCAAGAUUUUCGGCUGCGAAAUAAAUCGGCUCCUGAUUCGGCAUGCUCGUGAGUCUCCAGCGUUUCUUACAGCAGGAAAACGACACGUUCUCUCCUUCGGAAACGAUGUGUGCACAUGUACACAUGACAGUUGAUAGGUGCACAGGCUGCCGGGUAUGCAGCGACUUGGUCCAAGGGAACGGUGAACCGACCGGUUUAACCAAUGAUGAGGCAUUUUAAAUACACACCACCUCAUGCCUACCCACACUUGUCGUUCCGAUGCGCUACCUUAUUCUAGGCUCACGCCAACGCCACUUCGGGCAGUUCUCAAAUCCAGCGUCGGGUUUCCCCCUUCUUCGGGCUAGACGGACAAUUUACGAAAAGACAAGAAUUUUGUUAAUUGCGUUCAAGCGAAAGGAUGUCGUUUCGAUUCUUUCUUUCGCAGAAAAUUUCACGGAUAAACGGUCAUUUGAUAAUUCUUAUCAAAGUUUAAUACAUUUACGCACGAAUCGUGAAGUAUUUAAAUAUCGAUGUGAUUUCUUCUCGUUGUGAGAAUUGUGGGGAGAGACCCUAAACCCAGGCUUUUCAGAGAGAUAUCUACAAAUGUUAUACAGUCAGCAUCGAGUUAUGUGCUUUCGGAGAAUUCAAGUGGAGUAAUAAAUAAACUUGACCUACAACGGCCAACCAAUUAUUCUGUGAUUCUGCCAAAAAGAAAAAAAGAAAAUAUAAAAAAAGUGGAUAAAAAUUUCACAACUAAAUCGUCAUUAUGCAUUAUUACACGUGAUUUAUAUUUCAAGGACCGUCGAAGUUCUCUGCAAAGCUCGUGAUUCGUGAUCAUCGACCCAAAAAACCUCACAGCACCGAUUUUCAUUCGCAUCCAUUAAUCCAUUCUCAAGAUAUCAUGACUUUUAUUUUACUUUUUGGAAUUUUUUUAUCUAAAUAAUUCACAAGGUACCGAACCGAUCAAAGCCAAAAUCUAAUCAGUUCUAAGUUUGGAAAAGACGCGUCGAUUCGAACCAAACACAUUUGAAAUCACAUAACUCGCUCUCGACAUAUCGUCGGAAAAAAAUAUUCAUCACACACAUACAUACACAGACACAAAACGUCCAUCCUAGAAUGACUGGAGGUGAUUCUCUAAAAACUUCAAACGUGGAGAUCCGGUGAAAACUCAAUUUUUCAUUUCUCCAUCGAGGACAAAACUUGCUUCUUUCUCUAAAAUCAGAGAAAUAGAAAGUUAAAAAAAAGUAAAUAUUGUAAAUAGUUUAUGACACAAUGGUUUAAUCGUGGAUCAAAAAUGGAAGGAAACAUAAUAUUAUUACACCUGUAAGGGUGCGGUAAGAAAUUGAACUGCGUCUACCAACAUCGAUGCAAGGAAAACACCGGUGUCCGUACAUCUAUAAUCUAUAGAUAGAUAAAAUGGAUGUGGAUUAUAUUUAUAACAAUGUAUAUUUACACAAAUUCCCGAAGCACCGAAGAACCAGGUUGUGUGGAAUUCAAAUUGGAAGACAAUGAAUUCAUUCACCAACGAAGUGCGUUUUCGUGUACAAAACUGUGCACCUAUACAUACGUACUCAAGUAGAUAUACAUACGUGUGCCAUAUAUAGGUAUAUGCACGUUGCACAAGGCGUACACUAAUGUGUGCGUGGACAGAAUUGAGAUUCUUGUUUGCGAUUGAAAUUUGGAAUCCCGUUGUCGAAAGCCGACUGAGAAAAACAAUGGAUCCCUCACGCUUGAAGUAAUUGCAAAAAUCCACGAUGUUUAAGUUGGUAACGUUAACGUAUCGAAACGAUGAAAGAAAAAAUUAAUAUUUUUCACUUUCGGAGUAAGUGAGGAAGUUGAAUUUAGAAAAUCUCAGUUUCUUGAUGGUGUAUCAACGGUUUGCUAAAUUUCAGGUAAUCCUAAAGUUGCAAGAUAAUGACUUUUUCGAAAUAUGCAUCGUUACAACAACGUCACAAACUUCAACCUGAUAAGAAUGCAGCAGCUGCUGGUUAACAAAAUUAGUUUAAAAUAUUAAAAUCCGAGACAUGUUCGUCUCGAUCGACCGCGGAAGAAAUCGUUUUCAGUCUGAAAUUUCUUUUCUACCUGAUAAGAGGUAGAAUAGUGAAAAAAAUUCAUUCGUAAAAUCAGGAUUAAUAAAAAUAAUAAAAUAAAAAUCUGGCGACUAAAGGAUUUCCAUUUUCACUAUCAUAAACUCAAGGAUGGUUAGACCGAUUUUGGUCAGAAUUUAAUCAAUUAUUAGUUAGAAAGAACUGUGUUAAUUCAUACCAAAGUCAUUAAUUUUCGAGAUAUCCUCAUGCGAAAAAUUGAUAUAGUAAAAAAAAAAACUCAACUUUUCACUCGUUAUCUUCUCUGCAAACGAAAGAAUGGCAAAUUAAAAAAUGAUUAAGCCAACACUACGCGCGUAAUCGUUCGAUGAGAAACUGUUUACGUCGGAUAACAAUAUUAUGAACUCUUUUACCGGCAAAAAUCGUUUCCAUCCCCCAUUUCUGCACGACGAUUACACGUAAGUUUUGCAGCGCGUGCAAAUUUCCGUUUGAUUGUUUUUCUGUCAAUUUAUACUUAUCUGAACAAAAGUAAGAUAAUUAAGUGAAAAGAGCUAACGGCCGAGAUAAAAGUAUACACAUUAUGUUACAAUUCGCACGCGCCUCGGUUUUAACCCUCAUUUCGACGCAAGAUAAAGUUUAAUUAAAAAAAAAAAAAAAGAUAUUGCGGUAUGGGAAUGAUUGUUUAAUGCGCAGCAGUGGUAUAAUCGUAAGUCGGUAGUCAUAACCUCGCAUUCUAUAAUAGAGCAAGAAGCACACGAGUGAAAAUGUGAUACGAAUCUGUGAGAUAAUCCCUGGUAUAAUAUUCAUUAUCAGUGAAGGCUUACGAUCACUUUUUUUCCUACAACUAUGUUUUAUUUUUAAUAAAUAUUAUUAUUAUUGUUA